rnacentral:rRNA from 1 species
AUUGAACGCUGGCGGCAGGCCUAACACAUGCAAGUCGAGCGGAUGAAGGGAGCUUGCUCCUGGAUUCAGCGGCGGACGGGUGAGUAAUGCCUAGGAAUCUGCCUGGUAGUGGGGGAUAACGUCCGGAAACGGGCGCUAAUACCGCAUACGUCCUGCGAGAGCAAGUGGGGGAUCUUCGGACCUCACGCUAUCAGAUGAGCCUAGGUCGGAUUAGCUAGUUGGUGGGGUAAAGGCCUACCAAGGCGACGAUCCGUAACUGGUCUGAGAGGAUGAUCAGUCACACUGGAAGUGAGACACGGUCCAGACUCCUACGAGAGGCAGCAGUGGGGAAUAUUGGACAAUGGGCGAAAGCCUGAUCCAGCCAUGCCGCGUGUGUGAAGAAGGUCUUCGGAUUGUAAAGCACUUUAAGUUGGGAGGAAGGGCAGUAAGUUAAUACCUUGCUGUUUUGACGUUACCAACAGAAUAAGCACCGGCUAACUUCGUG